ACCAUACAGCAUUGUGCAAGAAAUAUAACUUAAAAUACAUAGAUUAGUCAGUACAAAAGAAUAACCUUACCUUUUGUGUGUUAAAAUAUCUACCGGUAAGUACUUCCCUGCUUUUAAAAACUAUGACAUGGCAGACAUGGCUUUAUUAAUGUGUUGGAAACCACUCCCUCCCUUCAUUCCUCUGGCAUACAAUUAAACCAAACACACAACUUUGAAUCUGAACAAGCUGUACCCAGACAGAACUACUGAGGAGAGAGGAUUAAGAUAUCGAGGAUGACUUGCUUCAUCGCAAAAUUGUUCUUUACGGUUACGAGGCAAGGCGUCUACACAAUGGGAGCGCAGGGUGUGGCUAUAUCCACAACUUGCGGGGUGUUAAUCGUAGUUGGUGUAGUGGCAGUGGUGGCAGGAAUAUUAGUGUGGAAGUACCUGGAUAACCAAAAGACCUGACUGAAAGAGUUGAUUGACUGCAAAAGCAUCGAUGGAAUUAUAACUCUGCAAUAAAAGCAAAGAUGGCAGACAACUGGUGGUUUUGAAGUUUUUGUGUGUGACAUUUUUGACUGAGCCAUCUCUGGCAUUCGGUUGAGUCCUGAAUAUUAGUGCCAAACAAAUCCCUAACGUGCACCGAGGAUGUGGCUUGUGUAUAAUGUAAAAUAGUUUCAGACGGCUUAUUAAACAGAAUGAUGUAAAUGCAUAACCUCAAACCAGUCUGAUAACUUUAUCCGAUUACAAAUAUAUACAUUAUUUUAGACUGUAACCUAAAAUGAAAGGAGCUUGUAUGAAACCCCUAACAUGUCCUUUGCUUACAGACUGAUAAGAGACUAACAGGGAAACGUUUGUAUCACCUGCUUAUGACUGAAGCCUCCGCAGCACAAUUUGGAAAGACAAGGGUCAUCUCACUGGAGCCAAGUAACAAAACUGCUUAAACAAACUAAAUGCUUUUCUCAAGAAGAUGAAUCCAAUCCAGUUGCGGGUACCAUCACUUCACUAUUGCUGUGUUGAACAGUGAGGGGUGAGGACGUCCAGAUCCCCUCCAGAGCAUUCACCGUGUGUCACGAAGGUUUGGCGUUUCGACUACCGGCUACACAGUGGCAACGGAGAGUGUGGUUAUAUCCUUGCUAUGUGGGGUGUUAUUAUUUGCUGCUCUAGCGGUAGGAGUAAUAAUAUGGUGGAAGCACCUGGAUAACAAAAGACUUAAAGAGAAGCAUCGAAGGAAUUAUAACUCAAAUGUACUUAACAUGUUGGAUGAAUACGCAUGCAAGUGGGACCCAGAUUCCCCUCAAACAAAACCCUUCUGUUUGCUAUCCUGGCUCCAAAAUGGUGGAACGACCUCCCCAUUGAUGUCAGGUCAGCAGACAGUCCUCACACCUUCCGUCGCAGACUGA